rnacentral:ncRNA from 1 species
UAUCUGGUUGAUCCUGCCAGUAGUGAUACGCUACCUUCAAAGAUUAAGCCAUGCAUGUCUCAGUACAGCCUCGACAAAGUGAAACCGCAAACAGCUCAUUAAAUCAGUUAUAACUUCCUUGCUCUCGAGUUCCUAAAUGGAUAACUGUGGUAAAUCUAGAGCUAAUACAUGCAUCCAGGCUCGUUCUCGGACGAGUCGCAUUUUAUUAGACCCAGACUGUAGGGCGUUCGUUUCGGCGGGCGUCUUCACUUCAGAGGUGAAUCUAGAUAACAAUCAGCUAUCAUUUAAGUCCUCUUCUGAGCGACGAUGAAGUGUAAUUCAGGCUUCUGCCUUAUCAACUUUUGUUGGUAGUCGACGGGACUACCAAGGUGAUCACGAGUAACGGGGAAUAUGGGUUCUAUUCCGGAGAAGGAGCCUGAGAAACGGCUACUACAUCUAAGGGUGGCAGCAGGCGCGCAAUUUGCCCAAUUUUAGAUGUAGGAGGCAGUGACGAGACAUAAACAUUGAAGAGCGUUGCUUCUGUAGCGUUUCUUCAAAUUAAAUUGUGAUUGAGCACAAUGUAAAUGCUUUGGCGAUUAUCUAUUGGAGGGCAAGUCUGGUGCCAGCAGCCGCGGUAAUUCCAGCUCCAAUAGCGUAUAUUAAUAUUGUUGCGGUUAAAAAGCUCAUAGUCUAAACUCGAUCUGUGCUUGAUUGUUCUCCAUUGGCUUCGCGGCCUUUGGUUUAUAUGGGCAAUCUUCUAGUACAGUUCAUAAACUGAUGUUUUGUUCGAUGGAUCGUGAUCUAUUGAAACAGCAUCAACGAUUACUUUGACUAAAUCAGAGUGAUCAAGACAGGUUCGUUUAGCACGACCUUGAAUGCUCUAGCAUGGAAUAAUAGAACAGGACUCGUUUUGGGUCUGGUGAAGUGUAUGUGUUUACACACUAUGGUCUCCAGUACCUCGAGUAAUGAUUAAAAGGGAUUGACGGGGGCAGUCGUAUUGCUGGGCUAGCGGUGAAAUGCAAUGACCCUGGUAAGACGUCCUAAAGCGAAAGCAUCUGCCUAGGAUGUUUUCAUUGAUCAAGAGCGAAAGUUAGAGGUGCGAAGGCGAUUAGAUACCGCCCUAGUUCUAACCAUAAACGAUGCCAACCAGCAAUCAGUCUGAGAAUUCAAGCUUUUUUAAAAAUCUUCAACGAUCUUGAAUUAGACUGGUUCUCCCGGAGAAAUCAGAGUGAUUAGGCUCCGGGGGAAGUAUGGUUGCAAGGCUGAAACUUAAAGGAAUUGACGGAGGGGCACCACAAGGAGUGGAGCUUGCGGCUUAAUUUGACUCAACACGGG